AAAGGAAUAAUAAGAUUAAUUACCACAAAUUGGUUAAUUAUUUAAAAAUUUUAGAAGUUGCCAACCACUAAUCACAAAUUAGCGAUCCUGGGCAUAAACGAGUUAUAAAGUUAAGUUAAUUUUAACUUUUUGACUUAACUUUUUAAAAUUUAAUUUUUAUUAAUUCAAUUUUUUUAACUUAACCGAACUUAACUUAACUUACUAUCUUAAAUCGUGGCACACCUUCUCUCAAAAUCCGUUUAAUUUGUCCUUGGGAGUUUUUAGUCACAGGCAUGGUUGAAUAAUAUGCUUAUAUAAAUGGGGGGCGUCGAUUGGUAUCAGCUGUUUUUGUGGAUCACUAGGAGGGAGAAAUGAUUAAUGAGUCUUUUUGCGAUCUGGGUGGUAGGGGGUUUUCGUCGCGUACUCGCAUCGUCGACCGUCGAUCUCUGUUCCUCACCCCAUGUCACCCCAGAACAUUCUGAUGUUGAUUGUUGAACCCUAGUAGGCUCAAGGCUGUUACAGUAGUCGUUAUUCAUCCGUCGACCGUUUUGGUGUCCCGUAAUUUUGUCGCUGCCGUUGUGUACCUCGAGCAACCCUGCUUAUCGUCGCCAUUAUUAUCCAUCUGUGAUUCCGUGCUCUUUUAAUUUAUUCGAGCCAUCAUCGCUCAUUAUUUUUUCGUACCUUUGCCGUAAGUUGCUAUGAUUUAUAACCGUUGUCACGCCCGUGAACGCCAUCCGUACACGUGGGUUUGGUGCGUUCAGACGACGUGCCGCCGGAUAUUGAAUAAUAUAAUAUUUUUACAUAUUAUAUAUUUAUGCAUAAUAUUAUAUAAUAUCCUUGGGAUGUUUUUCGAUCGUUAUCCGAAUGAAAAUUGUGCCGAUUUUUUUCACACAGUGUAGUUUUUGUCCGGAAGUUUCCACGAGUACAGGCAACAGGCAAUACGUAUUCGCGUCCUCGACACCCGCGUACGCACAAUCCAUGCAGCUGGUGUCCAAUCAUCGUCCGCAAUUGCCAGAGCCUUUGAUUUAGUCUUAUCAAGACGACGAACAUGACAAAAAAAGUCUGUUUUCUCAAGAUAAUAUCUGAUAAUUAUGAAAUCAUUUAAUAGAACGGGGGAGUGGCGGUGUCGAAACAUUUGAGGACUGUUCCUCUCCUACCCCCCAACCUUGUCGAUACCAGUCCAUACUAUCUUAGCCCAUGAUGUUAGCAUAUUAGAUAUGUGAAGUCCAGCGGCUGGGCCGGGACUUUUUUGUAGGUCGGGCCAUAGAGAGUCCAACAUAUUAUAUUAGAUCAGGCAUAGUCACAUAGUAGUGACACAAAUUGAGGAAGCGGGAGCAAUAGUAGCGCACGCGGUCAUGACCUCCUCCAACCUUGGACCUUAUAGACCAUAUCUAAGUACAAACUACAUCGAAAUAUCCUCUGAGGAUUGGGCCGGAAUGUUCACGUUUGAAAGGAGUCGUAUAUGUAUGAUAGGUCACUGGGAAAAAAAUAUUUACUUAUAAUUUUAGUAUAGUAGUAAGUUUUUCUCAGAUUAUUAAAAUUUUACAAAAGAUUUUAGUUUUAACCACUUUUAUAAAUAAUUGAUUUCCAUGUAGUUUAAUAUUAUUUUAGGAAUAUUAUAAUACAUUAUUCUCACUAAUAAUGAUGCAUUUCAAUAGAUUUAAGUAUACAGGAAUUUAGUAAUAUUAAAUGGAAAUCGGCUCAAGCCAAAUACUCAAACGCAGUUCAUUACAAAAUUAAGUAGAAUCUGAAAUGUAUAAGAACUAAGUGACCAAUUAAAAAAAAAAAAAACUAACCAUUUUAUAUAGGUACCUACAUUAUAUACAAUUAAUAAUAUAUUUUACCUAAUUUAUAUUUAUAAUGUCCUUAGUAAGAAAUAAAGUAUAUGUGAAUGCAUUA